rnacentral:lncRNA from 1 species
UUUAGGAAUAAAAUAGCUGGGCCAUGAAUCAAUCGUGAUUCAUGUCAUGAUUUAAACAAGGUAAAGCAAGUCUGAACUCAAAGGCUCCUCAUUCUCUAAAGGCUGAAUAUUCUAUCCUAACUUCCGCCUUCUGACUCUUUCUCCAUUAGACACAGGAGUCUGCAGAACCCCAUUGCAGCACGAGGCCGUCAAGUAAAGGUGGACGUUUGCUCCCCAAAGAAGGAAAUAGCCAUCAUUUUUCUUGAGAAACUACAACUGCAGGGAGAAAAAUGAAAGGUGAUGAAAUUAUGUGGCGGGUUUUAAUUGCCAUGCUAAUUCUCUGGAUAAUUCAGGAACACAAGCCCAGACACUGAAUUGUCUAGAUUAUCUGUCAUCAUCUGAAUCUGAAUUUGCUUAUUCCACAGAUACAUUAGCCAGCCCUUCGUUUUUCCCUUAGUUGUUUAAAACUGGUUUGGAGUGUUUAGAGCAGCAUAGCUCACAUGUGGUCUUUCCUCCCCGGUGGUGGAGAUCCCAGGCUCUGACCUCAGCUGGAUGUCGGGGAGAAAAAGUCAGGCAGAGAGAGUGGGCAGAACUUCCUGGAGUUGAAGAGCACUGGGAGCCUGAGGUCAGGGACCCGAUGGAGGAGUCCUGGAAGCAAGGACGGAGAGCAAGGUACUGAUGGAAAUUAUGAAGUGGAAUAAGAUUGUCUGUUCUCUUAUGGAGCACAGAAAGAACUAUAAUUCAAGACAAAGCAUACCAUAAGAAGGCACAAAGAGAUCAGAGAAGCUAAGGGUGGAACGAGGAAAGCUUCACGAAAGAGGUGGCAUUUGAGGCAGAUGCUGAAAAGUGAGAAGAUUUCAAUGGCUCGUGUUGGUCUGGUGGAGGGCGUAAUGGAGGGAGGUUAAUAAAAUUAUCCAAACCUUGGAAAGGAUUAAAUAU